UACGUAGGGAGCAAGCGUUGUCCGGAAUCAUUGGGCGUAAAGCGCGCGUAGGUGGCCUCAUAAGUCCGUUGUGAAAGUCAAAGGCUCAACCUUUGAAAGCCGAUGGAUGCUGUGAGACUAGAGUACGGAAGAGGCGAGUGGAAUUCCUGGUGUAGCGGUGGAAUGCGCAGAUAUCAGGAGGAACACCAAUAGCGAAGGCAGCUCGCUGGGACGUUACUGACACUGAGGCGCGAAAGCGUGGGGAGCGAACAGG
rnacentral:rRNA from 1 species